rnacentral:SRP_RNA from 1 species
CCGAGCAGCCGGGGUGGCAGCGGUACCUUGAACCAGCAAUCCGCUAUAGCUGGGGUGAUAUCCUGUCUGAGGGCUUUCGUCUGUGGAGCAGCCCUUCAUAAGUGGCGAUGACGCUUGGGUCUUACGCAACAGAACUUUACGAACCAGGUCAGGUCAGGAAUGGAGCAGCCUUAAGUAAAACCUUUUGUGUGCCGUAAGGUUGCCUGAGCUGAGUUAACUGUGGAGGUAACGUCUAUGGGCAGGGCUCGAAGCAGGGUGCUCGG